rnacentral:lncRNA from 1 species
CUCUAAGACCUUCAAAUAGGGCUGGACCUCCACGGGCAACACCUGAUCUGCAGGUGCACUUGGAGAGCUUGCAGGUGGUCAGGGUGCACAUGGGAAAGUGACUACGAGAGGAUGAAAUGAUACCUGGAGCCAGGAUCUAAAGGGUUGCAGACAAAGUGCUUUUUCCUGCCAGUUUCCUGUUGGUCAUCUUCUUGCUUCACAUACCAGCUUUAUCAGUCGCUUUCAUGGGAUCCCCUUC